rnacentral:tRNA from 1 species
GGGGGUAUAGCUCAGUGGUAGAGCAGCUGGCUCUUAACCAGUUUGUCGAGGGUUCAAAUCCCUCUGCCCCCACCA